AGAUCUGUUUAAAACCCUUAAACCCUCACUUGACCUUUUAAUUACCGAUUUUCUUGUAAUUCCUUUAGUCCAGAUAUCAGAUUAGGAGAUCUUACGGAGGCUGUGCAAAAAUUUACACAUCACUUUCCCCUUUGGGGGUUAUUGAGAAAUGCUAUUGAUUGUUUAUUGUGACAUAUAUGAACAGAGAAAAAUAAAAGAUACAGACAACACUAGUAGG
rnacentral:lncRNA from 1 species